rnacentral:lncRNA from 1 species
CAUUUCAGGUGCCGGCCCCCAAGCACCCCUGCAACCACUACAACCCAGCGGCAGCUUUUGGGGCCCGCGGGCAGGGAGGGCGGCGGAGCGGGUGGCGGCCCCUGCAGGCGGCGGCGGAGUCGGAGCCCCGGCGGUGUCAGUGCCACGGUGUCGGCGGCCGCCGAGCGAGAAAGGCAGCGAGGAGCCUGGCCCCGUCCCCGCGGCCGGGCCGCCGCAUGCAGCCCUCACCCUGGAGCGGCGGCGGCGGAUCGAGGAGCUGUCGCGGGCGUCCCGGCAGCGGCUGCUGCAGUCUCGGGACAGGAUGUUCUCCAAGUUCACCUCCAUCCUGCAGCACGCCGUGGAGGCGCUUGCACCAUCCCUUCCAUUACAAGAAGAUUUUGUUUACCACUGGAAGGCAAUCACCCAUUACUACAUAGAGACGUCAGAUGACAAAGCUCCUGUGACUGAUACCAACAUUCCUUCUCAUCUGGAUCAGAUGUUGGAUAUUCUAGUUCAAGAAGAAAAUGAAAGGGAAUCAGGUGAAACGGGGCCGUGUAUGGAGUAUUUGCUACAUCACAAGAUUCUGGAGACACUCUACACAUUGGGAAAAGCUGAUUGCCCUCCAGGAAUGAAACAGCAAGUUUUGGCUUUUUAUACAAAACUGCUUGGAAGAAUACAACAACCUCUUCUUCCCCACAUAAAUGUGCAUAGGCCAGUGCAGAAAUUAAUCAGGCUGUGUGGCGAAGUUCUGGCAACACCAACAGAAAAUGAAGAAAUUCAGUUUCUCUGUAUAGUAUGUGCAAAGCUGAAACAGGAUCCAUACCUGGUCAACUUUUUCCUUGAGAAUAAGUUAAAAGCAUUGGCUUCCAAAGAAUCAACAAACAUAAUCACAGAAGACAUGCUAAAAGGCCAAGAGUCUUUGGCGACAGACACAGGACAGCCCAUUCAGCCUGAAGAAAUACCUGGUGCUGCUGGAGCAGAGCAAAUGGAGAAGGAAGAUGACCUCCCCCACCAGGGAGAUGAUCUGUCUUUCAGUCUGGAUGAACUAAAUGUCGCAUCAUCACCUGAGUCCUCCACUGUCGGUCCAAAUCAAGACUAUAAUUUAGUGAAUUCUCUACUAAAUCUCACUAAAAGUCCGGAUGGCCGGAUAGCCGUGAAGGCCUGUGAAGGGCUCAUGCUUUUGGUGAGUUUGCCAGAACCAGCAGCUGCCAAGUGCCUGACUCAAAGCACUUCUUUAUGUGAACUGUUGACAGACAGGCUGGCCACCCUCUACAAAGCCCUGCCUCAGUCGCUGGAUCCCUUAGACAUUGAAACAGUGGAGGCAAUUAACUGGGGCUUGGAUUCCUAUAGCCACAAAGAAGAUGCAUCUGCUUUUCCAGGGAAAAGAGCGUUGAUUUCAUUUCUUUCAUGGUUUGACUACUGUGAUCAACUCAUCAAAGAAGCACAAAAGACUGCUGCUGUUGCUAUGGCAAAAGCUGUGCGGGAACGAUUUUUCGUUGAUGUUAUGGAACCCCAGCUGAUGCAAACCUCAGAGAUUGGAAUCCUCACAUCAACUGCACUAUUGCACCGCAUUGUUCGUCAAGUAACUUCGGAUGUCCUGCUGCAGGAAGUAGUUUAUUUUAUACUAGGAGAACACAGAGAGCCAGAAACUUCAACAGACAUCAACAGACAUCCAUUGCGACACAGGUUAAUUGAACACUGUGAUCACAUUUCUGAUGAGAUCAGCAUAAUGACUCUACGAAUGUUUGAGCACCUUUUGCAAAAACCCAACGAGCACAUUCUUUAUAAUUUGGUUCUGAGAAAUUUAGAAGAAAGGAAUUAUAUAGAAUAUAAGCCACUGUGUCAAGAAGAUAAAGAUGUGGUAGAGAAUGGACAGAUUGCAGCUGUAUCCAUAAUAAGCAUAUCUAAAGUGAUGCACAAAUUAUUACAUUACCAGUUGUUGGAUCAGUAA